rnacentral:RNase_P_RNA from 1 species
CAUGAGCAGGGGACGGCCGCGCGGCCCCACAGCCAUUUAUGGCAUUUAGGGAGUGAGGAAAGUCGGACACCACGGAAUCAGAAGGCCAGAGGAAUCUGGAUUUAUGGAAAGUGUAGCAGAAAGUAUACCGCCCUUGAGGUCUCACGAUCUUUCGGGUAAGGGUGAAAAGGCGGGGUAAGAGCCCACCGCAUGGUUUGAGAAAACGAUGGCAAGACAAACCCCCUUCGGUGCAAUUUCAAGCAGCUCCCGGAUGAUUCCCCAUGCAAAUUGCCGCGAAAGCGAUAAUUGCAAGGGAGCGGGUAGAAAGCAAAGCAGGCGAUCGUAUAAUAUCGCUUCAAGAUAAAUGGUCGUCGCCCCCGCAUCACGAAAGUGAUGCGGGGGAACAGAAUCCGGCUUACACCUGCUCUUUUUUA